rnacentral:lncRNA from 1 species
UCUCCCGUCUCCGCCUCCUCCCUCCUCCCUCCUCCCUCCCUCCCUCUCCCGGUCUCCACCUCCUCCCUCUCCCGAUCUCCACCUCCUCCCUCGCUCUCCCGGUCUCUAAGGUUAGCGUUUUUCUUCUUUUUUACUUUUGAUUUCGAAUUGAUUUUUAGGCUAUGUUUUAUGUACUGUCUAAUUUCCCUAAUUUAUGUUUAGGAGAUAAAUUAUCGUUAUUUUUUAAACAUAUGCUUUGUUGAUAAUGAACUUGAUGUUUGCAUUCCAUGAUUAGGUACUGGUUUUAUCGUGGGCAGGGUACGAAUUUUUAAACAUAAGAUACAAAAUACAAAAUAGAAAAACUUAUAUCAAAUCCGGAUGAAUAUAUAUAUAUUUUUUAUUGAAUUCAUAUUUUUGAAUAAAUAUAAUUUUAAACAUAUAUAUAUUUCACAUUAUAUUAAGUGUUUAAAUUUAAGCAUGAACAUAAUGAAAAAAUAUGGUUUCAAAAAUAUUUUUUAUAGAAUAAAGACAAAAUAAUCUAAAGCCUUAGAUUUGAGAAGGAUAAGAUUGAAUUUUUACUUUUUUAAUGUUGCCUCAGCCUUGAUUCAAAUUAAUAUUUUAAAUAUGAUGAGUGGCUAUUUUAGAUCGAAGAAGAGUUCGAAGGGCCAAAGGUCUGAAUCAUCUGAGGGAACCUCUAGCAACCCCCAAACGACGUUUCAGGGCCAGAUGACAGCCAGACGUGCGAGCCUUCUGGAGACGGCGUAGAGGCAGCCGGAGGUGCCCCUUUCAUCGAGGCAGGCGGCCGUCCCUCGUUCCUCGAGGCAGCUGUGGCCUCAGACCCAGACGGAGGUGUCUGUACCCCGUAUUCCUGAGAUACACCGGGCGCCCACUCCAAGUCCUACUUCUUCGGAUAGUGGGUCAUCUGGGAUACAGAUGCCGCCGCCUCAUCUGUUCCUUCCGAGGAUGAUACCGGCCUUACCUGUAGUCGAUGCCUCAGGGACUCCGAUUUAUCCACUGCCCCCGCCAGUGGCUCCAUCAACGGCGUACCGGUUCGUGCCUUUUGAUACGCCUCUUAUUUCCGCGAGGGUAUCAUCAUCGGCGACAGAGACGGAAUCCGUCGCGUCCGCUGCGAGCGCAUCAGGUAAUCAGUGAUGCAUGAUUACUUUUCUUAUAAUUAAUAAUAAAGGGUCUCCGAUUUUAAUAAUCAAUUUGGUUUAUGAUGUGAUAGGCACCGUCGGAG